AUUUUAAGCAAGAUUUCCCAUAGUUCAGUAGUUGCCUGUCUGUGCAUCAUUUGGCCUUUUAAGAUUUUCUAAAAGGACAUCUCAAGGAAUAUGUUCUCUUUUUGCUCAUCUGACUUUAUAUACCAUACUCACUCGAUCCCCCUGACUUUGAUCAGACAUAAGGCUCCGGGUGAUAACUUGUCUACAGCUGCCACAGGCUCAUCUCUGUACUAAGAGCUGGUGAACUAACCUUACUGAAGGUACACACUGGUUUGUUUAUUUCCAGACCUGGACUGCUGUACUUUAUCACAGUGGAUGUUUUGUAUGGAAGAGAAUGGCUUAACAAAAGAGGAAAACAUGAUGGAGAUGAAUGGAUUUCUGCUGGAGGCGGUACACAGCAUUAUUUCAAAGAGUGGGGCAAGAACUAAAGAUGUUGGAAAAGAAGAAGAAGAAGAAGAAGAAGAAGAAGAAGAAGAAGAAGAAGAAGAAGAUAAAGAAGAAGAAAACACUUUCAUAUAU
ensembl:lncRNA